rnacentral:lncRNA from 1 species
GAAAUUUUUUGAAAAUGAAAUUAAAUGGUAAAUCUUGAGUUUUACAAACAAAAUGUGUCUACAUGAAAAGAUUUUAUAAAUUGUUUUAAAAUUGAAUGAUGAUUUUGAAAAAUAGAGUAAUUGGAGAUCACUUGUUAUGAAUUAAAUUUAUGAAUCUAAUGGUUUAUGACAGUAUUUGCAUGAAUGACUGAAUUGGUAUUGGUGUUGAAAUAUAUGAAAUGUGUAUUUAGCCUUGAAAGGCUGUGAAUUAUAAUAAUUGCCAUGUCAUGCU